AGAACGAACGCUGGCGGCAUGCCUAACACAUGCAAGUCGAACGAGACCUUCGGGUCUAGUGGCGCACGGGUGCGUAACGCGUGGGAAUCUGCCCUUAGGUACGGAAUAACAGUGAGAAAUUACUGCUAAUACCGUAUGAUGUCUUCGGACCAAAGAUUUAUCGCCUAGGGAUGAGCCCGCGUUGGAUUAGCUAGUUGGUGGGGUAAAGGCCUACCAAGGCGACGAUCCAUAGCUGGUCUGAGAGGAUGAUCAGCCACACUGGGACUGAGACAUGGCCCAGACUCCUACGGGAGGCAGCAGUGGGGAAUAUUGGACAAUGGGCGAAAGCCUGAUCCAGCAAUGCCGCGUGAGUGAAGAAGGCCUUAGGGUUGUAAAGCUCUUUUACCCGGGAAGAUAAUGACUGUACCGGGAGAAUAAGCCCGGCUAACUCCGUGCCAGCAGCCGC
rnacentral:rRNA from 1 species